UAAGCGGUUGAAGGUGUGUGGUAACGCAUGCUGGACGUAUCAGAAGUGCGAAUGCUGACAUGAGUAACGAUAAAGGGGGUGAAAAACCUCCUCGCCGGAAGACCAAGGGUUCCUGUCCAACGUUAAUCGGGGCAGGGUAAGUCGACCCCUAAGGCGAGGCCGAAAGGCGUAGUCGAUGGGAAACGGGUUAAUAUUCCCGUACUUCUUACAAUUGCGAUGGGGGGACGGAGAAGGCUAGGUGGGCCUGGCGACGGUUGUCCAGGUUCAAGUGCGUAGGCUUGAGAGUUAGGUAAAUCCGGCUCUCUUUAAGGCUGAGACACGACGUCGAGCACCUACGGGUGUGAAGUCAUUGAUGCCAUGCUUCCAGGAAAAGCCUCUAAGCUUCAGAUUGUAAGGAAUCGUACCCCAAACCGACACAGGUGGUCGGGUAGAGAAUACCAAGGCGCUUGAGAGAACUCGGGUGAAGGAACUAGGCAAAAUGGUACCGUAACUUCGGGAGAAGGUACGCUCUCGACGGUGAAGUCCCUCGCGGAUGGAGCUAUUGAGAGUCGCAGAUACCAGGUGGCUGCAACUGUUUAUUAAAAACACAGCACUGUGCAAAAUCGUAAGAUGACGUAUACGGUGUGACGCCUGCCCGGUGCCGGAAGGUUAAUUGAUGGGGUUAGACUUCGGUCGAAGCUCUUGAUCGAAGCCCCGGUAAACGGCGGCCGUAACUAUAACGGUCCUAAGGUAGCGAAAUUCCUUGUCGGGUAAGUUCCGACCUGCACGAAUGGCGUAAUGAUGGCCACGCUGUCUCCACCCGAGACUCAGUGAAAUUGAAAUCGCUGUGAAGAUGCAGUGUACCCGCGGCUAGACGGAAAGACCCCGUGAACCUUUACUACAGCUUGGCACUGAACAUUGACCCUACAUGUGUAGGAUAGGUGGGAGGCUUUGAAGCACGUACGCCAGUAUGUGUGGAGCCGUCCUUGAAAUACCACCCUUGUAGUGUUGAUGUUCUAACGUUGACCCCUAAUCGGGGUUGCGGACAGUGCCUGGUGGGUAGUUUGACUGGGGCGGUCUCCUCCCAAAGAGUAACGGAGGAGCACGAAGGUGGGCUAAUCACGGUUGGACAUCGUGAGGUUAGUGCAAUGGCAUAAGCCCGCUUGACUGCGAGAAUGACAAUUCGAGCAGGUGCGAAAGCAGGUCAUAGUGAUCCGGUGGUUCUGAAUGGAAGGGCCAUCGCUCAACGGAUAAAAGGUACUCCGGGGAUAACAGGCUGAUACCGCCCAAGAGUUCAUAUCGACGGCGGUGUUUGGCACCUCGAUGUCGGCUCAUCACAUCCUGGGGCUGAAGUCGGUCCCAAGGGUAUGGCUGUUCGCCAUUUAAAGUGGUACGCGAGCUGGGUUUAGAACGUCGUGAGACAGUUCGGUCCCUAUCUGCCGUGGGCGUUGGAAGAUUGAAGGGGGCUGCUCCUAGUACGAGAGGACCGGAGUGGACGAACCUCUGGUGUUCGGGUUGUGUCGCCAGACGCAUUGCCCGGUAGCUAAGUUCGGAAUCGAUAACCGCUGAAAGCAUCUAAGCGGGAAGCGAGCCCUGAGAUGAGUCUUCCCUGAUACUUUAAGUAUCCUAAAGGGUUGUCGGAGACUACGACGUUGAUAGGUCAGGUGUGUAAGUGCUGUGAGGCAUUGAGCUAACUGAUACUAAUUGCCCGUGAGGCUUAACCAU
rnacentral:rRNA from 1 species